CGCCUCAAAUAGCAACUCAUCUCUCUUUUCCCUCAAAUAGCCGACUCACCUCUUAAUACGAGUUUGGUUUCGCCCUAUUACUUCGCCUGGCCAGAAAAUCAGAAGAAAAAGAAGCCGUCGCCUCAAGAAGAGGCACGAGACUUCUCGGUGGGUUUUCUUUCUUGGCGUCGACGUUUCCCCCAAAACUUCUUGCCACCUACUGCUUGCUUCGAAGCGCCGAUGCAACGUGCCUCGCUGCCUCUGCUUCCUUUUGUCGAGUCACCCUCUAUUAAGAGCUCCAGUCGCCAUGUCUUAUGCUUUUCAAGGAUUGAAUGAUUGAUGGUGAUGCUCUGUUGCAUCAAAUCAUCUACACAUCGGUUGCUUGAUCUUAUAGAGAUCUUGAUAAUCAGGUUGUCUGUUUACUAGAAAGGAGACUGAAGUUGACCUUAUACUUGGUGACAUGGGUCAGGUAGAACCUUGAUUGGAGAACUUUGAUUCAUAGGCAAAACCUUCCCAUUCUAUUUUGUGACGACUCAUAUUCCCUGAUUUUAUAGAAAUUUCUCAAAAACAUGUGGGAUUAUAAUAUCAUCCAAUUAUUAAUAUUUUUAUAGUGCUUUGAGUAACAAGAAAAGUUAGCACUCUGUGGACUUGAUCCCGCUAGACUUCACUGUGAUCGUCUACAACAUUUUGUAUACAUUUAAAGGUACUAUUACAUUAGGGUAUUAUGCGAGAAAUAGCACAAUAUUUUUAUUGAUUUGUUUAUUAUAGCAUUUUAUUUUCCUUCUUUGGUAUUUGAUUAUGGCUUUCAUGUGAAAAGCCUUUCCUCUUCGAGUAUUGCGUGUUAUAUAAUAUAUUUUUUGAAGAUUUUGAAGAUUUUGAAGAUUGGGAGUCUGUUCAAUUUGCUUUCCGAUCAUGUUUUCAUGCUCUGCAUUUACACGCCUACAUGACUUUCUCUUCUUGAUGCUAAGGUAUGGUUUUCUUAGUAUUAGUUUCUAUUGAUGAUUUGAUUGUUUCGCUAUUAGUUCAUCUCAAGGCGUUCCUGAUUACAGUAGUGUUUCAAUUUCACUGAACAAGGAUCAUAUGGAUUGCAAUCGUUGAAGUUGACGCCUUCAACAACAAUACGAAAUAUAAUGGUUUCUUUUAUAUGCUUUUCGUCGUUUGAUUUCCAAAAUUUCAUUUAAGUUAAUUUGAAAAAUUAUGCAUGUUAAGUGUAUGAUAAAAUGGAUUUAUGAAAUUUCUUACAACAACUUCUUUUUACUUGUUCAUAAGUAGAUCCUUAUUGUUUGGAAGUUUAUCAUAGAAACUUACAAGGUGAUUACCCCACCCGCUUUGAAAUUUGUUUUCUUUUCUGUUUUAAGGUUUUUUUGUGCUUUGUUUAAUUUGUUUUAUGUGUUGUUUAUUUUGUUGCAGGUUGUUUUGGUGAUUUUGUAAUUGUUAAAUAUUGAUCUAAAAUCUAAAAUUAACUGAUUAAAUGUCUUUUAUUACUAAAAUUAAUAUCUUAAAGUCGGUGACUUUUUUCUUAAAUUCCUAGAGAAUUAUUGUGGUUAUGACAUA